GUCCAGGUGACGAGUCUCAAAUAGGACGAAACGCGCGUCCUGGAU
rnacentral:hammerhead_ribozyme from 1 species